UGGGGAAUAUUGCACAAUGGGCGCAAGCCUGAUGCAGCCAUGCCGCGUGUAUGAAGAAGGCCUUCGGGUUGUAAAGUACUUUCAGCGGGGAGGAAGGCGAUAAGGUUAAUAACCUUGUCGAUUGACGUUACCCGCAGAAGAAGCACCGGCUAACUCCGUGCCAGCAGCCGCGGUAAUACGGAGGGUGCAAGCGUUAAUCGGAAUUACUGGGCGUAAAGCGCACGCAGGCGGUCUGUCAAGUCGGAUGUGAAAUCCCCGGGCUCAACCUGGGAACUGCAUUCGAAACUGGCAGGCUAGAGUCUUGUAGAGGGGGGUAGAAUUCCAGGUGUAGCGGUGAAAUGCGUAGAGAUCUGGAGGAAUACCGGUGGCGAAGGCGGCCCCUUGGACAAAGACUGACGCUCAGGUGCGAAAGCGUGGGGAGCAAACA
rnacentral:rRNA from 1 species